rnacentral:rRNA from 1 species
GACGAACGCUGGCGGCGCGCUUAACACAUGCAAGUCGAGCGAAGCGGCGGACGGGUGAGUAACACGUGAGUAACCUGCCUUAGACAUUGGGAUAGCCUCGGGAAACCGGGAUUAAUACCAAAUGGCCUAAGAUGGACUCGCGUCCCAUUAGCUAGUUGGUGGGGAACGGCCCAAAAAGGCGACGAGGGGUAGCCGGCCUGAGAGGGUGAACGGCCACAUUGGAACUGAGAAACUGUCCAAACUCUACGGGAGGCAGCAGUGGGGAAUAUUGCACAAUGGAGGGAACUCUGAUGCAGUGACGCCGCGUGAACGAAGAAGGCUUUCGAGUCGUAAAGUUCUUUUAUAUGGGAAGCGGUACCAUAAGAAAAAGCCCCGGCUAACUACGUGCCAGCAGCCGCGGUAAUUG